UGCCAGCAGCCGCGGUAAUACGAGAGGUGCAAGCGUUGUUCGGAGUGACUGGGCGUAAAGCGCACGUAGGUGGGCUUGUAAGUCGGAUGUGAAAGCCCCGGGCUCAACCUGGGAACUGCACCCGAAACUAUAAGUCUUGAAUGCUCCAGAGGUUGGUAGAAUUCCUGGUGUAGGAGUGAAAUCCGUAGAUAUCAGGAGGAAUACCGGAGGCGAAGGCGGCCAACUGGGGAUGCAUUGACACUGAGGUGCGAAAGCGUGGGGAGCAAACAGGAUUAGAUA
rnacentral:rRNA from 1 species